UGGGGAAUAUUGGACAAUGGGCGAAAGCCUGAUCCAGCCAUGCCGCGUGUGUGAAGAAGGUCUUCGGAUUGUAAAGCACUUUAAGUUGGGAGGAAGGGCAGUAAGCGAAUACCUUGCUGUUUUGACGUUACCGACAGAAUAAGCACCGGCUAACUCUGUGCCAGCAGCCGCGGUAAUACAGAGGGUGCAAGCGUUAAUCGGAAUUACUGGGCGUAAAGCGCGCGUAGGUGGUUCGUUAAGUUGAAUAUGAAAGCCCCGGGCUCAACCUGGGAACUGCAUCCAAAACUGGCGAGCUAGAGUAGGGCAGAGGGUGGUGGAAUUUCCUGUGUAGCGGUGAAAUGCGUAGAUAUAGGAAGGAACACCAGUGGCGAAGGCGACCACCUGGGCUCAUACUGACACUGAGGUGCGAAAGAGUGGGGAGCAAACAGG
rnacentral:rRNA from 1 species